rnacentral:misc_RNA from 1 species
GAUGAAGAACGUAGCGAAAUGCGAUAAGUAAUGUGAAUUGCAGAAUUCCGUGAAUCAUCGAAUCUUUGAACGCACAUUGCGCCCCCCGGCAUUCCGGGGAGCAUGCCUGUUCGAGCGUCUCCAGGACGAAUCCCCGCGCGAGUGAACGCGCGGUCGUGGCGGAGGUGGCGUGCCCGAGCAGGGCGGCCACCGCGCUGGAAUCCAUGGGCGGACGCCUGCCGCGUGGCCGAGCGUGAUAUGACGCAUUGGCGCUCGUGCGCGGCGAGGCUGCCAGCCCUGGCCCGUCUGUCGGGCGGGGUAGAUCACCACGUGGGAACUCCUCGAAUCAGGUAGGGAUACCCGCUGAACUUAAGCAUAUCAAUAAGCGGAGGA